UAGCCGUAAACGAUACUCGCUAGGUGUCGGCCACGGUGCGACCGUUGUCGGUGCCGUAGGGAAGCCGUGAAGCGAGCCACCUGGGAAGUACGGCCGCAAGGCUGAAACUUAAAGGAAUUGGCGGGGGAGCACAACAACGGGUGGAGCUUGCGGUUUAAUUGGACUCAACGCCGGGAAGCUCACCGGAUAAGACAGCGGAAUGAUUGCCGGGCUGAAGACCCUGCAUGACCAGCUGAGAGGAGGUGCAUGGCGUGUGACUGU
rnacentral:rRNA from 1 species